rnacentral:misc_RNA from 1 species
UUUCCUUGCAAGACUAGAACAAUCUGACUCAUUUUUGGACGAUAUUUUGUAGGUUUAUACACACAAGCUGCAGCACAACGAAUCAUUCCAACCAUUUCUAUUUUUCUAUAAUUAUUUUGUAAUUUGACAUCAAUAAUAUUAUUAUAAUUGUGAGUAUCCAAAGCUUGUCUGAGUUGAGCUGCAACCCAAGAAGUCAAGGAUGCAUAUGGAUUGA